UACAGAGGGUGCAAGCGUUAAUCGGAAUUACUGGGCGUAAAGCGUGCGCAGGCGGCUUUGCAAGACAGAUGUGAAAUCCCCGGGCUCAACCUGGGAACUGCAUUUGUGACUGCAAGGCUGGAGUGCGGCAGAGGGGGAUGGAAUUCCGCGUGUAGCAGUGAAAUGCGUAGAUAUGCGGAGGAACACCGAUGGCGAAGGCAAUCCCCUGGGCCUGCACUGACGCUCAUGCACGAAAGCGUGGGGAGCAAACAGG
rnacentral:rRNA from 1 species